rnacentral:tRNA from 1 species
UCUAAUAUGGCAGAUUAGUGCAGUGAAUUUAAGCUUCACAAAUAAAGGUGACUUUUUUUAGAA